rnacentral:pre_miRNA from 1 species
UAGUUGGUUGCGGCUCAUCGUGUGGCAGUUUGCUAGGUUAGAAUGCCAGCUGCCUAGCGAAGGGCAACGAACAACUGAG